AAACUCAUAUACAAUUUCAUAUUAAAUUUUAAUAUAAUGCUUUGCAAUUAAAUUUUUGAUCCUUAACCAAUAAUUUAUUCAAUUUAGAACUUUGUAUCACAUGAUUAAAAAUAUGCCAUCAUUGACAAUUUAAAACAAAUAAAUUAAAUUAUUGCAUGAAACUAUAAAAUUGUUAUAUUUUAAAUUCUAUAUUAAACAAUUAGUAAUAUGGUAAAUAUUAAAAUUAUAUACAAUUAAUCAUGUAAAAAUAUUUAUUUGUGUAACAAUAAAAAUAAUCACCUGCACGGUUGCGCGGGUCAAAAUCUACUUGUAACUUAAAACGACAAGUACUUGAUAGUCAUCUUAUGAAGUAAACAUAAUUAAUGAUUUUUAGCUAUGCAUGGCAAUCGAGUUGGCAUUGUGGAGCGAGUAAGUGUUCGAUAACAUCUAAAACUAUUGUAAAACUACUACUUUUUUUUGCUGUUAUUGUAAAACUAAUUUUAAAUCAGUACAUCUAUACAUUGCGCUAGUUUUGUGAGAACGCGAAUUGUAGUUUCACUAUUUUUUGUAUAUUUUGCUAGUUUCUUUUUGAUCAUCAAAAAGUUUUGGGUCAGUGGAUCUAUACAAUCAAAUCUAAAAUCUGAGGUAAAUUGUUUAAAACCCUUGAUCUACAUCAUCACUGGGUUAAAAGACUUCUUGCAUGUUACUUUAAAAUUUGAAUGAACAACGCUUCCGAACUUUGAUAAUCUUCUGAAAUAAUCAAUAAAAAACCAUUAUAUUCGGAAGUCCAUUAAAAACACACUUAAGUAAAAAGGCCCACCUCAUUUAUAAAAAAAACAUAUAUACACCCUUCAAAAGAAAUACUUGUACAUAGGAGAAAUAUAAGAAUCCUAUUUCGACGGCCAGGAUCAUGUAGACCACUGUAAACAAGGUAGUCGUGAAACCACAUGAUCAAUGAUCUGAGUUCUUCCCCCUUCUUUUCUGUUUGAAUCCGUUUUGUAAUUCUCAAAACCAGCUAUUGAUUUUUUCAUUAUGAUCCUCAUUUUUUUUCUACUCGGGAACCGAGUCGGUGGUGCGUGGAAGCUCAUUGCGGAUCCGCCGUGACUAGCGGGGAGUUACUUUCUGAUUUUGAUCAUCAAUGGCGUCUUGGCUCAAAGCUGCCUGCCUGCCGAAGGUUGUGGAUCGAAGGGGAAAGUCUGUGGUUGAAGACCUCUCCGAGGAACAGUCUGAUUUGCACUUGCCAGCUUCUAAUAAGAAAGGGUCCCAAGCAAAGAGAUUAAAAGUUCAAAGGGAAAGGCUCGGCAGAAAGUAAAGUUGUCAAGGAAGAAUCUUCUAAUAAUAGAGAUUUUUUUGGUGAUCAAUCUCGACCAGGAGUUUCGCAGUCGGAGGUGCCUACCUCUAGAGAUUCAACCGACUGAUACAGAUGUUCAGAGUGUUCUGUCACUUCCACAGUCUGUGGCAGACACAAAAAGUGAAGAUGCUGCUGUGGUAGCUAUUGGUUCUGUUGCGCUGCUGAGCCAACUCCAAAUGACAAGCAAGCUGAUGGAGCUGUUCCAAAUGACACUUUGGUGCAACCGUUGCAACCGCAAACCUGGUUGAUGCUCAGAAUAUUUUUUAAAAGAGAUUUGGAUAAAUGGAAUCUGUGGUGCAUGUUUCUCCUUUAGGCCAAGGAACUGUGAUUCAAAGCACAGGAAAUGAGGCGUAAGAGAAAGUUGGUAUCUCAGUCAAUUUGGAUAAAGAACAUAGGAACAUAAUACCUCCACCAAUACAAAUUCCAUGAAGAUUCAACAUCAGCUUGAAGAGGCUCAGGGGUUGUUAAAAGCUACGGUUUUCUUUGGGCAGUCAAAAGAAGCUAGGUUAAGCUCAAAUAUCCUUUGUGCAUCAAAUGGGUGAUUAAACACUCUUUUAUCUGUCCGAUAGAAUUAAUUCAUGCUAGUGUUUGGACGUUACCAAUUUCAGAUAUAUGCUUCAUUUGUUUGUCCUCAUAUACAUCUAGGUUUGUGCUGGACUGUCUGCAAAAGAUUAAGGAAGAAAAUGCACAGUUGGAAGAGUCUCUCACUGCAGAGCAAGAGCUGACCAAGUCAUAUGAAGCUAGCAUUAGAUAGUUACAAAAAUAUUUAUCAUCUUCUAAAAGAAAAGUGUCGAAAGUAGAGUCAAGCAUGGUUGAGGCACUAGCAGCUACGAACUCAGAGGUAGAAAGAAGCACUUGUCAGCACAAUGGAUGCCUUGAAAAACCAGGCUGCUCUGAACGAAGGAAAAUUGUCGUCCCUUCAGGUGGAAUGUACAUCUCUGGAUCAAGAGUUGCAAGAUAUGGAAGUUCGUGCUCGCAGAGGGCAAACGAAAUCUCCGGAUGAACCAAACCAAGUGACACAUAUUCAAGCAUGGCAGGGUGAAGUGGACAGUGCUCGACAAGCUCAGAGAGAUGCCGAGAAGAAACUUGCUUCAAUGGAGGC